rnacentral:rRNA from 1 species
UGGGGAAUAUUGCACAAUGGGCGAAAGCCUGAUGCAGCAACGCCGCGUGAGUGAUGAAGGUCUUCGGAUUGUAAAGCUCUGUCUUUUGGGACGAUAAUGACGGUACCAAAGGAGGAAGCCACGGCUAACUACGUGCCAGCAGCCGCGGUAAUACGUAGGUGGCGAGCGUUGUCCGGAUUUACUGGGCGUAAAGGGUGCGUAGGCGGAUGUUUAAGUGAGAUGUGAAAUACCCGGGCUUAACUUGGGUGCUGCAUUUCAAACUGGAUAUCUAGAGUGCAGGAGAGGAGAAUGGAAUUCCUAGUGUAGCGGUGAAAUGCGUAGAGAUUAGGAAGAACACCAGUGGCGAAGGCGAUUCUCUGGACUGUAACUGACGCUGAGGCACGAAAGCGUGGGUAGCAAACAGGAUUAGAUACCCUGGUAG